rnacentral:rRNA from 1 species
AUGAACGCUAGCUACAGGCUUAACACAUGCAAGUCGAGGGGCAGCAUGAAUCAAGCUUGCUUGAUUGAUGGCGACCGGCGCACGGGUGCGUAACACGUAUCCAAUCUACCCAUGGCUCAGGGAUAGCCUUUCGAAAGAAAGAUUAAUACCUGAUGGUUUCAUGAGCCCGCAUGGACUUAUGAAUAAAGAUUUAUCGGCGAUGGAUGAGGAUGCGUCCGAUUAGAUAGUAGGCGGGUAACGGCCCACCUAGUCGACGAUCGGUAGGGGCUCUGAGAGGAGGAUCCCCCACAUUGGAACUGAGACACGGUCCAAACUCCUACGGGAGGCAGCAGUGAGGAAUAUUGGUCAAUGGGCGAGAGCCUGAACCAGCCAAGUAGCGUGGAAGGGAUGACUGCCCUAUGGGUUGUAAACCUCUUUUGUUUGGGAAUAAAGUGAGCCACGUGUGGCUUUUUGUAUGUACCUUACGAAUAAGCAUCGGCUAAUUCCGUGCCAGCCGCUGC